GAUGAACGCUGGCGGCGUGCCUAAUACAUGCAAGUCGAGCGAACAGAUGAGGAGCUUGCUCCUCUGACGUUAGCGGCGGACGGGUGAGUAACACGUGGAUAACCUACCUAUAAGACUGGGAUAACUUCGGGAAACCGGAGCUAAUACCGGAUAAUAUAUUGAACCGCAUGGUUCAAUAGUGAAAGACGGUUUUGCUGUCACUUAUAGAUGGAUCCGCGCCGCAUUAGCUAGUUGGUAAGGUAACGGCUUACCAAGGCGACGAUGCGUAGCCGACCUGAGAGGGUGAUCGGCCACACUGGAACUGAGACACGGUCCAGACUCCUACGGGAGGCAGCAGUAGGGAAUCUUCCGCAAUGGGCGAAAGCCUGACGGAGCAACGCCGCGUGAGUGAUGAAGGUCUUCGGAUCGUAAAACUCUGUUAUUAGGGAAGAACAAAUGUGUAAGUAACUGUGCACGUCUUGACGGUACCUAAUCAGAAAGCCACGGCUAACUACGUG
rnacentral:rRNA from 1 species